rnacentral:rRNA from 1 species
AUGAGGAGCUGGAGGAGCCCACCGGCGGCUUCAGCGACACGCGAGAGCUCGGCGGUCAGCGACGGCUUCGGCACCAUGCAUGUACAAACGAUAACUACGGGACAGGCGGGCUGUGGUGGUGAAGCGGUUGUACAACAACAGCUGCUGGCACGUGCAGCAGUUCAUGAACUAGGCGACGAUCCUGUCGUAGCUGCACCAUCUGAACCUCGUCAUCUUCUACGGAUCCUGUCGCAGCUGCACCACCUGAAUCUCAUCAUCUUCUACGGCUGCACGUCCAGCCGCAUCCUGCUGCCGCUGCUGUGGUCACUCCGCUUCAAUGUCAUCAUCGAGGAAGCUGCAACGCCUCUCCACCCCAUCGAGCCUCCCAUGGUGUACGGUGACGAGAAGACUACCAACAUUCUCCUCAAUGCCGAAUUCCAAGUCAAGGUGGCCGACUUUGGCCUCUCCCGGCUCUUCCCGNNNNNNNNNNNNNNNNNNNNNNNNAAGAACUACUGCAACUCUUUCCUGAAGAAGCGCGUCGAGGGCGCGCCGUCACCAGCCAAGUCCGCCGGCUCGGACGCGCCCCGGAGCCCGACGCCCAGCGAUGGUGGGCGCGAACGCAGCGUCGUUAACCAGCCGUCCAUCUCCGGCUCGUCAGGGCCGCUGGAGUCGUCGUCGACGGCCGACGACUCAAGCAGCCUCACAGUCCCUGGUGCUGCCGCCUCGAUCGGGCCGCACGCGCCCGUGCUCCCCGAGGUCAUGUUCGCAGACUGGCUUGACAAGGACAUGGACAUGGACUACGGCACCAACCUUAUGGCACCGAGCGCGCUGGAGGCGGCCUUCGACGGCAGCCCGGCGCAGCAGGGCAUGAGCCACCAGGGGUCCGUGCAGGUGGAGGGCUUGUGCGGCGCCGUGGACACGUUGCACGGAGUCGGCAACGGCGUAGUCUGUUGGGAGUUCGACGAGGGUCUGAUCCACCUACAGGGAGGAGGAUUUUGCGACCUGCUCCCCGUGAGUGAGUUCCUCGGGAUCAACUAG